GCGGAGGAAAAGAAACCAACAGGGAUUGCCCCAGUAACGGCGAGUGAAGCGGCAACAGCUCAAAUUUGAAAUCUGGUCCCCUCUGGGGGCCCGAGUUGUAAUUUGAAGAGGAUGCUUUUGGCGAGGCGCCUUCCGAGUGCCCUGGAACGGGACGCCACAGAGGGUGAGAGCCCCGUAUGGUCGGACGCCGAGCCUAUGUAAAGCUCCUUCUACGAGUCGAGUAGUUUGGGAAUGCUGCUCAAAAUGGGAGGUAAACCCCUUCUAAAGCUAAAUACCGGCCAGAGACCGAUAGCGCACAAGUAGAGUGAUCGAAAGAUGAAAAGCACUUUGAAAAGAGAGUUAAACAGCACGUGAAAUUGUUGAAAGGGAAGCGCUUGCGACCAGACUUGCGCCCGUCGGAUCAACCGUCCCUCGUGGGCGGCGCACUCCGGCGGGCUCAGGCCAGCAUCAGUUUUCCGGGGGGGAGAAAGUCGGUCGGAAUGUGGCUCUUCGGAGUGUUA
rnacentral:sRNA from 1 species